CAAUUCUUUCCAAAAUGGUAACAGAGUCAGAGGUCACAAGUUUCCAAACAUGGACUAAUCCUAAACAUUCAAGUGUCAUCCUUUCUAUGAAACAACUUUAUAAAAAUCCAACCUGUUCUGUAAAGUCAUCUGCUUUUGUGCCCCAUUAAAUUCUGGGUAUAACAUAACACUGGGUCUUGUGCGUCCCAGGAAACUUCUGACUGACCCAGGAGAAAACUUUAUCCUGUUUUCUGCACCUUCCUUGAAGAUCACUCUUAAAAAGAUGUUUUGAAAACAGCCAUUUUUGCAAAUACUAUUGAGCUAUUUCGACAGCACUGUAACUUAAGUUGCUAAAGGAAGGCUCCUGUCUGUGUUGUUCACACUGAAUCCCCUGGGCCUAGAACAAUGUCUGGUAUAUAAUAAGCAUUCAGUAAGUAUUUGAAUAAUAAAUAAACGAGUGCUAUUUUAAAUUCA
rnacentral:lncRNA from 1 species